GAUGAACGCUGGCGGCGUGCCUAAUACAUGCCAGUCGAGCGAACAGAUGAGGAGCUUGCUCCUCUGACGUUAGCGGCGGACGGGUGAGUAACACGUGGAUAACCUACCUAUAAGACUGGGAUAACUUCGGGAAACCGGAGCUAAUACCGGAUAAUAUAUUGAACCGCAUGGUUCAAUAGUGAAAGACGGUUUUGCUGUCACUUAUAGAUGGAUCCGCGCCGCAUUAGCUAGUUGGUAAGGUAACGGCUUACCAAGGCAACGAUGCGUAGCCGACCUGAGAGGGUGAUCGGCCACACUGGAACUGAGACACGGCCCAGACUCCUACGGGAGGCAGCAGUAGGGAAUCUUCCGCAAUGGGCGAAAGCCUGACGGAGCAACGCCGCGUGAGUGAUGAAGGUCUUCGGAUCGUAAAACUCUGUUAUUAGGGAAGAACAAAUGUGUAAGUAACUAUGCACGUCUUGACGGUACCUAAUCAGAAAGCCACGGCUAACUACGUG
rnacentral:rRNA from 1 species